UUCCGUGGAGAGGAACAAUUCUGA
rnacentral:piRNA from 4 species